AGCUGGGGCAGGAGCUGGGGCAGGGGCUGGGGCAGGGGCUAGGGCUGGUGGUGCGGUUGGGGGCAAGACUGAGCUCUGAGUAAAAGGUCUCCUUGGUCUUGGACAGAUUUCAGGAAUACAGGAAGUACAGGCACGGUCACUCACUCCUUAUCCAAACUGGUGGCCUAGGUCCUGGUCAAAAUGUUACGAACAGAACAGAGAACAGCUGGAGAAUAUAGGUUACACAGAACCCGAAAACAGUCAGCCAACUAGGUUACACAGAACCCGAAAACAGUCAGCCAACUAGGUUACACAGAACCCGAAAACAGUCAGCCAACUAGGUUACACAGAACCCGAAAACAGUCAUCCAAACUAGGUUACACAGAACCCGAAAACAGUCAGCCAACUAGGUUACACAGAACCCGAAAACAGUCAGCCAACUAGGUUACACAGAACCCGAAAACAGUCAGCCAACUAGGUUACACAGAACCCGAAAACAGUCAUCCAAACUAGGUUAUACAGAACCCGAAAACAGUCAGCCAACUAGGUUACACAGAACCCGAAAACAGUCAGCCAACUAGGUUACACAGAACCCGAAAACAGUCAGCCAACUAGGUUACACAGAACCCGAAAACAGUCAGCCAACUAGGUUACACAGAACCCGAAAACAGUCAUCCAACUACAGUCAGCUCAAUAAGGGGCCAUCAGCACCCCUUAGAAACAUGUGGAACAUGAUGCAUCUUCUGUGGCCAUGUAGGUUACACACACCCAAAUACAGUCGGUCAAAUACAGUCGGUCAAAUACAGUCGGUCAAAUACAGUCGGUCAAAUACAGUCGGUCAAACACAGUCGGUCAAACACAGUCGGUCAAAUACAGUCGGUCAAAUACAGUCGGUCAAACACAGUCGGUCAAAGGACCCCAGUGGCCAUGUACCAAGCUGGUCCUCCACUGGCUACCAGCCUUAAUAAAUAGACCUCUACUGUACUACACAACUGUCUGAGGAGGAUUGGAUUCAGUUCCACGUUGCCCACAUUGCUUUUGACCGUUUACAAGUUUCGAUCACAUUUUAAAGUAUAUAUAUCAACUGUUAUAUAUUUUUCUUUCUAGUAUAUUUUAAACUUUAUGCUUUUUUGGGGGGGGGGUGGAAAAGUGAAUGAAUUAUAUAUUAUUAUGAUUGUGUGGACUUGACUUUGAAGGACAAUGUGUGUUGUUUAAAAAAUAAAUAUAAAGUGAUAUUUGAUACAGAGGGGUUGAUAGUUGAAGGACGACGCUCCUAUGAGACACACACACACUAUACACACUACACACUACACACUACACACACUACACACACUACACACUACACACUACACACACA